rnacentral:misc_RNA from 1 species
UCUCCGUAGGUGAACCAGCGGAGGGAUCAUUACCGAGUUUACAACUCCCAAACCCAAUGUGAACGUUACCAAACUGUUGCCUCGGCGGGAUCUCUGCCCCGGGUGCGUCGCAGCCCCGGACCAAGGCGCCCGCCGGAGGACCAACCUAAAACUCUUAUUGUAUACCCCCUCGCGGGUUUUUUUAUAAUCUGAGCCUUCUCGGCGCCUCUCGUAGGCGUUUCGAAAAUGAAUCAAAACUUUCAACAACGGAUCUCUUGGUUCUG